rnacentral:misc_RNA from 1 species
CAGUUCAGACCAUAAUUCCAAGUCCAACGGCGAUACAGUUACAAAUACACUUGCAUUCCAACAACAAGGACCCCUAAACAUAUUUGGUCAUCUUCAGAGAAGCGUGGGAGAGAUAUCCAUUGGGAAUGGAUUACCGAGAACAUUAUCCAUGUAAUAGUGAGAAUGGGUAGCAUCCAUCACCACAAACUGCAUAUCCUCAGAUGGUUUCCAGUGUCGCUUCCUUUGGUUAAUGAACCAGUUAUUAAUUUGCUUCUGAUCCAGACCAGUAGAUUCUGCUAAGGCUAGCUUUUGUGAUUCCGAUGGAUAAGGCCAUUUGUAAUGUCUGCUCCACCAAUCCAGUAACUGCUGCCUUGCUUCUUUAGGUAAUUUCCCCUUCUUCCUCUUUUUCAUGAACUCCUGCUUUAGGCUGCCCAAAUAUCCACUGUACCUGCGCAGNUAGCUGACCUUUCAGUUCCUGAUCUUCAGCCUGGGGAUCUAUGAAGUUGUUGUUCACAUCAACUUCUUCUUCAGAUGAUCCAUUCCUUUCAUUGGCCUCACCACAAGCAGAAUUUGGAGAGGAAACAGUGAGGGCUUUGAAUUGACACUCGACCCUCUGGAGGAAAAGCAUGGCUUCCUUCAAGGGCUUUGAUAGCUCUUGCUCAUACUUGGUCAGCAUCUCACAGUAAGCCUCCAUGAACUGGUCAAGGGCUGGAUCUUCACCAAUACAACUCGUACCAGUUGGACCCAUUGCUGCUGCAGAUGCACAGGCUUCUUCUAAUCUAGCCACCACUUCAGAUGGUGCUCCAACCUGAAGAUUUACAUACGCC